rnacentral:rRNA from 1 species
ACUCAAAUGAAUUGACGGGGACCCGCACAAGCGGUGGAGCGUGUUGUUUAAUUCGAUGGUAAGCGAAGAACCUUACCAAGGCUUGAAAUCUCUGGAAGUCUGCUGAAAGGCGGAUGUGCCUUCGGGAACCAGAUGACAGGUGCUGCAUGGCCGUCGUCAGCUCGUGUCGUGAGAUGUAUGGUUAAGUCCAUUAACGAGCGCAACCCUUGUGUUUAGUUGGAUUUUUCUAAACAGACUGCCCCGGCAACGGGGAGGAAGGAGGGGAUGAUGUCAGGUCAGUAUUGCCCUUACGCCUUGGGCUACAAACACGCUACAAUGGCCGGUACAAAGGGCUGCCAACCCGCGAGGGGGAGCAAAUCCCAUCAAAACCGGUCUCAGUUCGGAUUGCAGGCUGAAACUCGCCUGCAUGAAGCUGGAAUCGCUAGUAACGGUAAGUCAGCACAUUACCGUGAAUACGUUCCCGGGUCUUGUACACACCGCCCGU